rnacentral:lncRNA from 1 species
CAUGGCGUCCGCGGCGGCGCCCGCGCGGCACUUUCAGUUUCUCCUUCGCGCGGGUGCAGGGCGGCUCGGCGCGGCCCGGGCCUCUCGCGUGCACCUGCGCCGGGCCGCAGCCCGCGGGCUUCCCUGCGCGGCCGGAGCAGCGGGCGGGCCUCGCGAGUCGCAGUGACUCGGGCCGGGAGACGUUCCGGGUGACUUCUCACCCCUCGGCGGCGCGGGGCUCCUGGGAGCGAAAACCACCAGUUGCUAACGUGUCCACGGAAGCCACAAAUGUGCAGGGCAAAAGCCGGGCUCUUGGACGCGAACGCCACCGAGGAGGCGUCGCUGCUUCUGCCGCGGAUGUGGCAGACGUUGCCAAGUCAUCUUGUAAAAAAAGGAAGUGGACAAUGAUUAAGAGGUUCACGCCCCGUGCCCCUCCAACCGCUAAUGCUUUUUUCUCUCCGUCUUAUGUACAUGCACCUGCCCAGGUGGGACCUCGAGGAAGUAUAACUUUGUGGGUCCGCCUAAUCUGGCAGUUUCGUGAAUGA